AAGGUAAAGAUCAUCCCAUAUGGUAUGCUAAACCUAGAGUACCUAUGACAUAUGGAGAUGUAGUUUAACAUAAGUCUAGGGAGGUUUAGGGGAAUUCCUAGCAAGAUAUGGUGCAUGAUAGCUAAAUCUCGCUCCGAAACGAAAUCGAAGCGACCGGUUUUUGGAAACAAGACCCGGUUAACAAUGCUCAAAAGCAGUCUCAUCUCGGCAUUGAGGUCUUGGGAGUUAACUACGUCAAGAGGGCCGCAGUCCUCUCUUCCUAAGAGUAGGUUUAGGGC
rnacentral:lncRNA from 1 species